ACCUUUGACAUGGCAGGAAUCCUGAAGAGAUUGGGAGUGCUCGAAAGAGAACCUGCACACAGGUGCUGCAUGGCUGUCGUCAGCUCGUGUCGUGAGAUGUUGGGUUAAGUCCCGCAACGAGCGCAACCCUUGCCAUUAGUUGCUACGAAAGGGCACUCUAAUGGGACUGCCGGUGACAAACCGGAGGAAGGUGGGGAUGACGUCAAGUCCUCAUGGCCCUUAUAGGUGGGGCUACACACGUCAUACAAUGGCCGGUACAGAGGGUAGCCAACCCGCGAGGGGGAGCCAAUCCCACAAAGCCGGUCGUAGUCCGGAUCGCAGUCUGCAACUCGACUGCGUGAAGUCGGAAUCGCUAGUAAUCGCGGAUCAGCAUGUCGCGGUGAAUACGUUCCCGGGUCUU
rnacentral:rRNA from 1 species